rnacentral:lncRNA from 1 species
GUUUUUAUUGGUUUGGUUUUUAUUUUAUUUUAGACAAUCCAUAAGAAUUAAUCUGGAUACAGCGAAACAGAUUCCCAGGUGGCUUAAUUUAGCAUCACUCCAAUGUCUUGAAAUGGGCAGCACUAACUUGUUACGCCAACUGUAAACGUGGCCCUUCAUGUCUUGUAUCAAUUUUCUUUUAAAUAACAAUCACACCAGCCCACAGUGAUAUUUAGCAUUACUCAAUCCUUGUAAAAAUGACAAACUUUACCUCCCCGCGAAGUUGCCUGUGAUUAGUCACACGUGGCAGUGUUACCAAGAGGCGACGCUGAGCAGUGCCCCGUGAGCUUCGCUUAAAUCUGGCUGUUAUGUCGGGCUGUACCUGUGCUACCCCCCUGAACCCUUAUUGUCAAGGGAAGCAAUUUCACAUCCUGCCUACUAAGUGAAGAGAUUGUGAAAGUUAUCUUCAUUGUUUUGAGAGAACAGAAUUUAUUCCCUUCAAAACAAGUGACCAGCUUUGCCUUAAUCAAGCGCACGUAUCCAGCCUUCAGCGAGGCAGGCUGGAGCCGAAGCCUUUCUGUUUCAUCCCGUUUCAAUCCGGUGUGUUGUCAGCUGAAACUGGCUCUUUUUAAUCUUUUGUAGUAAAUGUCAGGUGAGGAACUGACAGUUGUGAAGGUAACAAUUUUCCAUUUAUCCGCAGCCUGUGUAAUACAUGAGUGGAUACUUACUGCCUGUGAAUGACCAUCGCUGUCAAUCCAACUUAAAAUCCGUUCUCUUCUGUGCUUCUGGAGGGAUGCUGCCUGUGUAAUUUGUCUGUAGCUUAUAAAGGAGAGAGCAGCCGUGGAUUGAAGUCAGCAUUCAGUUUAUUAGUUGUAUUUUAAAUAUUUGAUCACAGUGAGGCUAAAAAUUCAACACCACUGUAACAUGGUAUGAUGCCUUAAAAUGCCUGUAGUAUUUGAGGUAGAUCAGAUGGAAAAAAAUAAUUGUUUGUGAGAAAAUGAUAAUUGCACGUAUAUCGCACUUCAAGCCGAAAUAUCAUAUAUUAUUUACAGUCUGGGGAAGAAAUAUGAGACUCCAGAUAAGAGGGAGAGGAGAGAUUAAUUUCAUCUCUUUGGUAAACACCCGCAGCAGCUGGGUGAGGCGUAAACAGGGGCCGUACCUGGCCAGAAGCAGAGCCUGCCGCGCGGACAGACGAGGGGUGGAGACGGCAGCUGGGAUCUGCAGCAGAGAAUCUGCACCUAGAUGUGCACCUGCCUGCGUGGCUCUUCCUUCCCUGCGUGCUGCCGAUGGGAUGGCAACGGCCACGCUCUUGGAACACGAAGGUGUGUGAAGAAACAAAGCUGGAGUAAGGGCAUGAAAAGGCAUCCUGGGGGAAAUAGGUCAGUCCUUUAUUUACCGUAGUGCUUUAGCUCUGAUUAUGCAAGGAGCUUAAUGCUGCUUCAGGUAGAGUAGGGCCUUGUAUUUCUAUGCAACACCUGCAGCGGCGGCGUGCUCUGCCAUUCCUCUGCCCGCGUUCCCAUUGAAUAAUAAGAACCAGGUUUUGGAAAGUACGCCAAACAUCUGGUAAAAUCAGGGCUCUACAAGUUUAUUCGAAAAUAUUCGUGAGCGUCACAGAUUUGCCAGGUGGUGAGCACUGUUGAAAAUCUGUCCCUAAUUUACUAUGUAAAUUAGGCCAUUAGGUUAAAUUGAUCUGCUUGUAAGUUAGCGUGCUACCCAGUAUGAGCUACGGGGGUAGAAGCUGUCCUGGUAAGACAUACACAUUUGACUAAAUUGUAUUUACAUUCCCUGCUCUCUUUAUGUGGUGGUCAUCCCCCUGUGAGUCAUCCCAAUACGCUCCAGGUUAUGUGGGAAUCUCGUCGUGGCAAAAUGUUGAUUUAAUGAGCUUGGAACAAGAGACACACAACAUCAAAAGCUGGGACACC